ensembl:lncRNA
UUUGAUAUUAUUGCAUUUAUUUUUUUAUCAUUUUCCUAUUAAAUUAUAAUUCUGACUUGCGAUCUCUCACUGGUUUGAUUUCAAACUAGUACAUAUUUUGGCGCCCAACGUGGGGCAUUAACCUGAGAGAAAGUCAGAAUUGCAAUUUCAUAUUAACAGAAACCUAUCCACCAUGGUGGUUGGCUUGUCUAUAUGGGUACUGUAUCUUGCUCUCUAUAUUUUCCCUCACAUGGGGAACUACUUGCCUGUUGUAUUGCUCCUGUUGAGACCAGGGAAUGGUAUGAGAAUUGCUUUAUUGGUUUAUUAUGCUUAUGGCAUGAUAACCUGUGAGGCAAUGAAUACCAUUCGGAAUAUAUACUCAAUUUUGUUUGCUUGUCCUAGUCUGGGCUGCUACAUCUGGGACCUUCUCAACAAUCGCACCCUGCCCUUGGUGGGAAGAGUGGAGAGUGGUUUCUUCCAGCCUUUCAGGUCAGGCACAGCAGUUUUUAAAAAUAUUGAGUUCUCUCUGGAUGCCAAGGACAGCCUAGUCUUGCUGUUUUGUUUUCUCUGCAUGGCCUGCACCAUGUACACCAUGCUUAGAAACAAAGCACUGUUUGGUGUGGUACAGCGUCUUCUUGAGGAGGAAGAGAAAAGAACCAAGAGCAGAGCAACAGCAUCCAUGACCACACAGACUGCCACAGAGGAGAAAGGAACCAAGAGCAAAGCCACAGCGUCCGUGUCUACGCAGACUGCCACAGAAGAGAAAGAAACCAAGAGCAAAGCAACAGCAUCCGUGUCCACUCAGACUGCCACAGAGGAGAAAGGAACCAAGAGCAAAACAACAGCGUCCAUGUCUACGCAGACUACCACAGAGGAGAAAGGAACCAAAAGGGCCAUGAGCACCUCCACACAAACAGUCACCGAACCAGAGCAGCCUAAACCGGUAGAAGUUGCCCCCAUUCAGAAAAAGAAAUCAAAAAGCAAAUCAGUCCGCAUAGUGACUGAUGAGGGUGAGGCAGGACCUUCACACGCAGCGGAGGAGACAGAACCAGAGAUUAUCACUCGCUCUCUAUCCCUAGGUGAGCUGCGUGACCUGCGGAGGGAAUUCACCCGCCAGACGAACGAGUCCAUCCUAACCUGGCUGCUCCGCAUCUGGGACGCUGCAGCAAACGACACCAUCCUGGAUGGAAGUGAGGCCAGGCAACUGGGAUCGCUGUCCCGGGAUGUGGUCAUUGACCAGGGGAUUGGGAGAACCCAAGAAACUCUCAGCCUCUGGAGGCGACUGCUGACAAGUGUAAGGGACAGAUACCUCUGCAAAGAAGACCUCCAGGUGCACCAGGGAAAAUGGAGCACAAUGGAACAGGGUAUCCGAUGCCUGAGGGAGUUGGCUGUGCUGGAGAUCAUUUUUGCAGAAGAUGAGAGAUUUCCUAAGAGCCCAGAUGGUGUCCAGUGCACGUCACAGAUGUGGCUGAGAUUUGCACGGCUUGGACCAGAGAUGUACUCCCGUUACCUGGCAACACUGCAAUGGAGGGAAGGUGAGGACAGGGUGGGUGUCCUGGCCAAUAAACUAAGAAUCUACGAGGACACUGUCACUGCCCCGUUUCGCACCCAUGUCUCAUCUGUGGAAACAAGGCUGGCUGAGCAAGUCCGGAGCUUGAUUGAAGAGGGCCAUCAGAAACUAAAAAAGGAACUUAAGGAAGAAAUUUACCACGUCUCCCCAGAACCAACAAGAGUCUCUGCUAUUAGGAGUAGGCAUUCCCCAGCCAGGGAGAAAGGAUACACUCCACGAGGUAACCUCUGGUUUUUUCUCCAGGAGCAUGGAGAAGACAUGAGGAAGUGGGAUGGAAA